rnacentral:rRNA from 1 species
UACGGAGGGGGCUAGCGUUGUUCGGAAUUACUGGGCGUAAAGCGCACGUAGGCGGACUGGAAAGUUAGAGGUGAAAUCCCGGGGCUCAACCCCGGAACUGCCUUUAAAACUCUCAGUCUUGAGUUCGAGAGAGGUGAGUGGAAUUCCGAGUGUAGAGGUGAAAUUCGUAGAUAUUCGGAGGAACACCAGUGGCGAAGGCGGCUCACUGGCUCGAUACUGACGCUGAGGUGCGAAAGCGUGGGGAGCAAACAGG